UGGGGAAUUUUGGACAAUGGGGGAAACCCUGAUCCAGCCAUCCCGCGUGUGCGAUGAAGGCCUUCGGGUUGUAAAGCACUUUUGGCAGGAAAGAAACGUCAUGGGUUAAUACCCCGUGAAACUGACGGUACCUGCAGAAUAAGCACCGGCUAACUACGUGCCAGCAGCCGCGGUAAUACGUAGGGUGCAAGCGUUAAUCGGAAUUACUGGGCGUAAAGCGUGCGCAGGCGGUUCGGAAAGAAAGAUGUGAAAUCCCAGAGCUCAACUUUGGAACUGCAUUUUUAACUACCGGGCUAGAGUGUGUCAGAGGGAGGUGGAAUUCCGCGUGUAGCAGUGAAAUGCGUAGCUAUGCUGAGGAACACCGAUGGCGAAGGCAGCCUCCUGGGAUAACACUGACGCUCAUGAACGAAAGCGUGGUGAGCAAACAGG
rnacentral:rRNA from 1 species